rnacentral:rRNA from 1 species
GAUUUCUGGUUCGAUGCGUUUGGCCCUCUCGGAGCAAUCCGGCGUGCGUGCCGAUGCGCGUCUGCCAUCCCUUGUAGAGAACGUUUCUACCCUUCACUGGGCCGGAUUCGCAAUCUACAUCUUUUACUUUGAAAAAAUUAGAGUGUUUCAAGCAGGCAUUUGCUAUGAAUACAUUAGCAUGGAAUAAUAAUUUAGGACUUUUGUUCUCUUUUGUUGGUUUCGCGAACGGAAGUAAUGAUUGAUAGGGAUAGUUGGGGGUGCUAGUAUUCAGUGGCCAGAGGUGAAAUUCUCGGAUUCACUGAAGACUAACUUAUGCGAAAGCAUU